GAUUUAGAGACUAGAGAGAGAGAGAGAGAGAGAGUUUCAAUGGCGACAACCAACACCACCACCACCCAGUAUCCAGACGACUUCAAAUGCCCGAUUUCUCUAGAGAUAAUGUCGGAACCAGUCAUCCUUUCCUCCGGCCACACCUUUGACCGCCCUUCCAUCCAACGAUGGCUUGACGCCGGCCACCGUACCUGCCCCAUCACCAAACUCCCCCUUUCCGACACCCCUUCUUUAAUCCCCAAUCACGCCCUUCGGAGCUUGAUUUCCACUUACACCGCCUCCUCCGUCGCAAACGCCGCCCUCACUUUAUCAAAACCUCAUCAUAUUCGAGAACACCCGGAAACCCUAAUUUCAAAUUUGACAUCCAAGUCGUCUUCGCCGGAGGUCAAGCUCGUUUCAAUCGAACACCUUUGCCAGCUUUCGAAACGUGAUUUCGAGCUUCGGAAGCGGUUGACGGAGUCCGGAGCCGUGGCGGCUUUGCUCGGUUGCGUUUCGUUAAAAAACUGUGUCAAUUUGCAAGAGAAAUCGUUGAAAUUGCUGUUGAAUUUGAGUCUUGAUGAUGAUAACAAGGUGGGUUUGGUGGCGGAGGGUGCAAUUUGUCACAUCAUCGCGGCUUUAUGCGACGGCGAGUCCGCCGAUUGUCGGGCGACGGCGGCGACGGUUUUGACGAGUCUUGCGGUAGUGGAAGUGAAUAAAGCCACAAUUGGAGCAUACCCUUUUGCGAUUAGAGGGUUAGUGAAGCUACUGAACAACGGCGUUGGACGAGAACGGAAAGAAGCCGCCACCGCGCUUUACGCUCUCUGCUCGUUUCCGGAUAACCGGAGACGGGCGGUGGAAUGUGGGGCGGUUGAGAUUCUUGUGAAUUCGUUGGAUUCGGGGCUCGAACGGGCCGUUGAAGUUCUGGGAUUAUUGGCAAAAUGCAAAAGAGGGAGAGAAGAAAUGGUGAGGUUCAAUGGGUGUGUCAAGAUUUUGAUUCAUGUGGUUAGAAAUGGAAGCUCAAGAGGGGUUCAGUAUGCACUUUUGACAUUGACUUCACUCUGUUUGAGCAGUGAAGUGAUUUGUAUGGAGGCAUUGAAGGAAGGUGUGUUUGAAUUGUGUUUGAGGUUCUUGGAAGAUGAUAACGAGAAGGUUAGACGAAAUGCUUCGAGUUUGAUCAAGGUUUUCGGUGGCGCCGGAUGCAUUUAGGGUUCUUGAAAAUCUUGAUGGGUAUAUGGUGAUGGUGAUGGUGAUGGUGAUCCAAUUCUCCAUUUGUGUAGGUAAACCACGAAAAAUUGUCGUAACUUCUAUCUUGCAUAUUGUACCAUAUCUAAUGCAUGAAAUACAAGAUUUGAUGCAGAUCGAAUCAAUCCAACAACUUCGGCAUAAUCUGUGUCAUCGAGCGAAAACGGUCAAAUAUCCAGAAAAUGACGAACAAACAUUCUAGGUAUGUUUUUCUUCACGAAGAUUUACCGCAUAGAAAUCGAAAGCGACGUGCAAAUCCUUCUGGAUUGAUUUGGUGAAAUCGGACGAUCCAACAACUCCUGCCGGCCUAUGAAAGCGAUGUUUUUUCCCUAGUAAACGAUUUCCGUUUAUAUUUUAUCGGUACAACUGUCUGUUUUUCUUAAAGCGAGUAUGGUUGUUCGGUUUUUAUCUGUUAAUUUGUCAUUCUGUAAAGAUGCCCGCCUUCAUGGCGUCGCGAGUUCUCAUUAUUUGCAUCCGAAGAUACGUGUGGUAGGUGACGGAGUUUAGUUAGCGCUGGUUUUUAGUCGGCGGCUCGAUUUUCAACAAAAGCGAGCGUGGGACAUAUGGUUGUCAAUU